CAGUAGGGAAUCUUCCACAAUGGGCGAAAGCCUGAUGGAGCAACGCCGCGUGUGUGAUGAAGGGUUUCGGCUCGUAAAACACUGUUGUAAGAGAAGAAUGACAUUGAGAGUAACUGUUCAAUGUGUGACGGUAUCUUACCAGAAAAGGAACGGCUAAAUACGUGCCAG
rnacentral:rRNA from 1 species